rnacentral:rRNA from 1 species
GACGACCGCUGGCGGCGUGCUUAACACAUGCAAGUCGAACGGUAAGGCCCUUCGGGGUACACGAGUGGCGAACGGGUGAGUAACACGUGGGUGAUCUGCCCUGCACUUCGGGAUAAGCCUGGGAAACUGGGUCUAAUACCGGAUAGGACCACUGCCUGCAUGGGUGGUGGUGGAAAGCUUUUGCGGUGUGGGAUGGGCCCGCGGCCUAUCAGCUUGUUGGUGGGGUGAUGGCCUACCAAGGCGACGACGGGUAGCCGGCCUGAGAGGGUGACCGGCCACACGGGGACUGAGAUACGGCCCAGGCUCCUACGGGAGGAAGCAGUGGGGAAUAUUGCACAAUGGGCGCAAGCCUGAUGCAGCGACGCCGCGUGAGGGAUGACGGCCUUCGGGUUGUAAACCUCUUUCAGCACCGACGAAGCGCAAGUGACGGUAGGUGCAGAAGAGGGACCGGCCAACUACGUGCCAGCCGCCGCUGUAA